GGAACGAAACGCUUGGCGGCAUGGGCUAAGACAUGGCAGGUCGAACGAGACAUGUAGCAAUAUAUGUUUAGUGGCGAAAGGGUGAGGAAUAGAUAGGGACGUACCCCGAACUCGGGGAUAGCGUCCCGAAAGGGGCAGUAAUACGGGAUAAUGUAGUAAUACCAAAGAUUUAUCGGUUUGGGAGCGGCCUAUCUCCUAUCAGCUAGUUGGUGAGGUAACGGCUUACCAAGGCAACGACGGGUAGCGGGACUGAGAGGUUGGCCCGCCACAUCGGGACUGAGACACUGCCCGGACCUCCACGGAGGGCUGCAGUAACGGAUAUUGGGCAAUGGGCGCAAGCCUGACCCAGCAAUGCCGCGUAUAGGAUGAAGCCUUUCGGGGUGUAAACUAUUGUCAGGUCCAAGAAAGUGCGUUUCGGCGCAUUGAUCAGGACCGGAGGAAGUCACGGCUAACUUCGUGCCAGCAGCCGCGGUAAUACGAAGGUGACAAGCGUUGUUCGGAAUCACUGGGCUUAAAG
rnacentral:rRNA from 1 species